rnacentral:tRNA from 1 species
AAAGAAUUAGUUAAAUUAUAACAAAAGAAUGUCAAUCUUUAAUUACUAUAAAUAGUAUUUUUUA